CACAUUUAUCAUCUAACACACCCAUGAGACACGCCCCACACCCGUGCACCAAUACAGUGAGUCCAUUUAAACCAACCCACUUAAUCAAAAAAGGAACAACUCCUAUGGCUCCUACAACUGGAAUAUGACUCAGUAAACAGGCAGCCCAGAUGUUCAGAGUCCAGCUGUGGGUGUCGGUGAAGGUUCAGACGUGUCAGCAGACUCGCUGAUAGAGCACUCUGAGGUGUUAGAGUCUACAGAGAGAGAUUCAUUUUUCCUUCAACAUAACACAAGAUAAGAUUUUUUUUUCAGCAGUUGAAACUAAAACACAACCUAAAAAGUUCAAAUAUCUGACUCAGGCACAUGAAAUAAAGCACGGCUCCGCCCCCACCAUGACCCUGGCAGUAAUGAAAAUGAACAGACUCUGCUCACUCAGCAGGAGACUCAGGAGGAUCGUCUAUGACAGGAAAGGAGACGAUGCCAUCCCAUAAUACCCACCAUCCUGCUGACAUGUUUGAAGCUUCAGCGUCUGUGAAGCCAAAAUAAAUUCCUCUG